rnacentral:tRNA from 1 species
UAAGAAGUAGUGUAGUGGGUGCAUUUGAAGUUUUGAGUUUCAAGGGUUAGGUUCAAGUCCUAAUUUUUUAG